UUUGCGCCCCAGCCUGAAUGGAGCUCUUUUUUAUAAUUUUUUUUAAAGCGUAAAUAUAUUUAAAAAAAUUAUAAAAAAAGCGGGAAUGGAGGAUGGAAAAAGGC
rnacentral:misc_RNA from 1 species